ACUAGUCUACGAUCCACACUGACGAUGCUGCCCGCCAUUUUCUCAGUCUCCCUCCUGUUCGUGAUAACCAGCGCUGCUGCCGGCCCUCCCACCACCUCCGUCCCCUUCGUCUGGCCCACCAAAACCACCAGCCCGACUCUGCCCACCAAAACCACCAGCCCGACUCUGCCCUGUCGGGACUACCUCAGGUUCGUGUGUCCGCAGCUGAACUGUCCGGACGCCGUGCCUCACAACUACGCCAGAUGUCUGUGCGGGUACUGUCCGAACGGUCCGAUGACCACCGUGCCGACAACCGUACAGACCCCAACUCAAGCCACGGCCGCUCCUGCGCUGAAAACCAUGCCAACUCUACGGACGACCGAGAGGACGACCACUGAGCCCUGGACUCCUCCGGAGACUACCACCUGGACUCCGGAGACUACCAGUAGUACCACCACACCGUUUUCUACCACCACAUACUGUAACGAUUGGUGCUGUUACUGGAAAGAUCCGAGGUGCACCUAUACCACCACCACCCCCCCUCUGCCAUGUUUGCUCCGCCGCUUGAAGAACCUAAGCUAUGACUGCCUCGACCCUCCGUGCGUGGACAAGGCGGAGUACAACUCCUUCGCCUGUUCAUGCGGUACAUGUCCUACAGGCCCGAACUGUUACGCCUGGGACGGUUCCAUUAUCCCCGCGGGGGAGCCAGUUGCAGUGGACGGUGCCAUGUGUGAGUGCAGGUGGAAGACGUGGGGGGACAGGUUCUCCCCGUACGCAACCUGCAGAUGGGGCGUCCUCUCGGGCUGACAGUUUAACCACUGUGGCACCCCGGCCAGUCUUUCCUGAGUCCUAAAGCAGGGUGCCAAAGAAUUCAUACAAUUUUACAGAAUGCAUGAUAAAAUGUGCACCUCAUGUAGCUUGUUUUGUGGCUAUAUAUAACUGAAAUGAGGGCGAAAGUAUGCCAAAAAUGCCAGUAAAUGUCAAUAUAGUUUUGCAUUGCCGUCCUAAAAUUGCAUUGGAUGCCUUAAAAUUGGCAAGGCAGUAUCAAACUGUUAGGACAGUAUUUUCGAACCCGUAUGCUACACAGUAAAAGACCCUGAUGAUGAUGAGAAACAUUAACUCAUAAGUCGAGGUUAACAUCAUUUGACAAAGGUAUGAUAUCAUGGAACUCUUAAAAACAGGUAAUGUUGUGAUAAACUUAUGUAAUGAUUAAAAGUUGAGAAAUCGUGGACUAUCAGUUGAUAGUAUGCUUUCAAACAAUAGGAGUUUAGACCCACGCUUCAACUAGGUCUCAUGAAUC